rnacentral:rRNA from 1 species
UCGAUUUCUUCGGAUUGAAAUUUUAGUGACUGAGUGGCGGACGGGUGAGUAACGCGUGGGUAACCUGCCUCACACUGGGGGAUAACAGUUAGAAAUAGCUGCUAAUACCGCAUAAGCGCACGGUGUCGCAUGACACAGUGUGAAAAACUCCGGUGGUAUAAGAUGGACCCGCGUCUGAUUAGCCAGUUGGCAGGGUAACGGCCCACCAAGGCGACGAUCAGUAGCCGGCCUGAGAGGGUGAACGGCCACAUUGGGACUGAGACACGGCCCAAACUCC